GUUCGCUUCAGCAGCACAUAUACUAAAACUGGAAUGAUAUAGAGAAGAUUAGCAUGGUCCCUGAGCAAGGAUGAUAAGCAAAUUUGUGAAGUGUUCCAUAUUUUU